CAGGGAUUGCCCUAGUAACGGCGAGUGAAGCGGCAACAGCUCAAAUUUGAAAUCUGGCUCUUUCAGAGUCCGAGUUGUAAUUUGCAGAGGGCGCUUUGGCUUUGGCAGCGGUCCAAGUUCCUUGGAACAGGACGUCACAGAGGGUGAGAAUCCCGUACGUGGUCGCUAGCUAUUGCCGUGUAAAGCCCCUUCGACGAGUCGAGUUGUUUGGGAAUGCAGCUCUAAAUGGGAGGUAAAUUUCUUCUAAAGCUAAAUACUGGCCAGAGACCGAUAGCGCACAAGUAGAGUGAUCGAAAGAUGAAAAGCACUUUGGAAAGAGAGUCAAACAGCACGUGAAAUUGUUGAAAGGGAAGCGCUUGCAGCCAGACUUGCUUGCAGUUGCUCAUCCGGGCUUUUGCCCGGUGCACUCUUCUGCAGGCAGGCCAGCAUCAGUUUGGGCGGUGGGAUAAAGGUCUCUGACACGUUCCUUCCUUCGGGUUGGCCAUAUAGGGGAGACGUCAUACCACCAGCCUGGACUGAGGUCCGCGCAUCUGCUAGGAUGCUGGCGUAAUGGCUGUAAGCGGCCCGUCUUGAAACACGGACCAAGGAGUCUAACAUCUAUGCGAGUGUUUGGGUGUCAAGCCCGAGCGCGUAAUGAAAGUGAACGGAGGUGGGAACCCGCAAGGGUGCACCAUCGACCGAUCCUGAAGUUUACGGAAGGAUUUGAGUAAGAGCAUGGCUGUUGGGACCCGAAAGAUGGUGAACUAUGCUUGAAUAGGGUGAAGCCAGAGGAAACUCUGGUGGAGGCUCGCAGCGGUUCUGACGUGCAAAUCGAUCGUCAAAUUUGGGCAUAGGGGCGAAAGACU
rnacentral:rRNA from 1 species